CAGGAAUGCUGCGAGCAGUGCCACCUCAUGGUACUCGGAGGGAGGUUGUCCGUGGUGAGUUCGCAUUAUUUAAUGAUGC